rnacentral:rRNA from 1 species
AUACGGAGGGUCCAAGCGUUAUCUGGAUUCAUUGGGUUUAAAGGGUCCGCAGGCGGGAAAAUAAGUCAGUGGUGAAAGCCUACAGCUCAACUGUAGAACUGCCAUUGAUACUGUUUUUCUUGAGUAUAGAUGAAGUGGGCGGAAUAUAUCAUGUAGCGGUGAAAUGCAUAGAUAUGAUAUAGAACACCGAUUGCGAAGGCAGCUCACUAAACUAUUACUGACGCUCAGGGACGAAAGCGUGGGGAGCGAACAGGAUUAGAAACCCUAGUAGUCC